UUACGCGACCAAGGGUCUCGUAUGUAUAGAGAGGAUGGUUCACCCCUGACGCAAUGUUCCCUCAUACUGCUGCAGCGCCCCUGAGUAGCGUACUGUGUAUUCAAGACCGGCCUAAGAAGAAAGUCGGACGAAACUAGUUUUUUAGUUGUGUUUAUAUUCUCUGUACACUUGAGUUCAUACCAGGCGGUUUUUAGACCAGUUGGUUGUUUGAUUUCAUGGCGUUAUUUGCGAGUAUUUUGUGGUCUUUGUGAUAUUUUGUGGAGGCUCAACCUGUUGAAUUUUCCUGCUGUAUGAAUAAAAUUCUGAGUUCUACGUUGAUUAUUCAUCAUGAAGAGAGCAGACGAAAGUUACGACAAACCAUCGCAGAAUACCACAAGGAUUGAUUUAGGAUCCGCAGCUGGCAGAAUAACAUCGGAUAUUCGCUGAAAAACAAGAUUUGAAAACUUAUAUUUUAUACAGAAGAAAACUUAUAUUUUAUACAGAA